CCACAAAAGAUAAGUAUGACUGUAUAAGUUUUCAUUGGAAUUGACAUAAAGGAAAGCUAGAUGAAAAUUUUGAGAAGGAGGGGCGAAAAAAUCUCUAAUCAGCUGUCCAAACAUUUCGUUUUCUUUAAUUCGUACCCUAUCGAUCAUUGUUUCAUUAUAGACAGAAAUAUUAUGACACCAAAUGAACCUGACAUAACUUUCCACGUGCUUCCAUUUCCUUCAAGCUGAGCAUCCUCGAUUGUAACUGCCACAAGUUCAUGAUCAUAAUCAUUAUAAUGGGUUUCAGAAAAGGAAGAAAAAAGCAACUGCAGAUGAUCCCAGGUGAGGCCUAUAUUGAUCCAUCACAAGAUUUCAGGCUAAUAUGAAAACCAAUAAUUAGAUGUGAUGAUGGAGGAGUAGCUAGCCAUGUACACCAAAAAUAUCAACUACAUGCAGGAAAUUUUGAGCUUCUUGAGUCGAUAUGCAUCACAUACAUGUGAGAAAAAACAGACAAUAUUGAGAUGCAUAAUAAUUGAUAGCAGAUCAGUAUUACCCAUCUGUCAUGUACUACUUUGCACAGUUGCAGACGAACAACCUUCAAUGCGGUUCCGACACUCGUGUGGCUAGAAAUAUGCAGCUUUCAUUUUCAUUUACAAUUGUGAUAUUUUCUUACCAACACCGUGGACAAUGUCAGCACAUUGGAUGAAUCAUUUCAAAUUUACAUACUUGCAAAGGCAGACCAUAUAUGGAGGGAGGGAGAUGUCUAGAAGGAUCCCAUGGUGGCGGGCCUCAAUGAGAAGCAUUGCAACAAGGGGAAACAUGUUCCAUCUGUCUGAAAGUGGAGACAAAAAAGUGAGACCAAAUAAUUGUCAAUAAUUCUUGUGUGGAACAAGUUUAGCAGUCAAACCAAAACAACAUUUUUAUCGCAAAAGAAUGCAUAAUUUCUUUUAGCACCAAAAUCAGUACAAUUUUGCCAUACCUAGCCUGGCCUUCUCCAUGGGGAAGGCAUGUAAUGCGGGUCCAGAUAGUGCAGCUUGCGGGCUCCUCAAUUGUGCAGAGCCAAGACAAUUACUCAGGUCAAGUUGAAAACAAAACAAUAGGAGAAAUCAAAAGAUGAAAGUAGCACAGACGAUCCUGCUUUUCAAAUGUUCCUGCAGAGACAAUAUCCUUACAGCUGGCUGCAAUAGAAGGCUUUUAUGUCAAAGAAGUGCGAAAGUACAAGCAGUGCUAAGAGUAACUGCAGAAUUCACGGAGAGAGAACAACAACUGUCAUCAACAAAUGGGAAGAAAAAACAUAUAUAAAGAUUAAACUGAGAACUCUCAAGUUGUAUAGAUUUGUCAAUUUCUCCUGAAACUGCCUGGGAUAGAACUGGUGAAAAGAUCGUAUAGAACAUGAUAACCCAACUUUCAGCGGCUUAUGACUUUGAGAUGCAUUGGCAGAUUAGUACCCCUAUCUUUAGACCUGCAACAUUUCCAGCCAGAUAAAAUACAACUUCAUUUUAAAUCC
rnacentral:lncRNA from 1 species